CCCUACGGGGUGCACCUCGACGAGGGGCAUGCACGUCGCAUCGCAGAAAGGUUUCUCAGUCAUGGUCUCGGGAUUGAUCUAUCCAAAUAUAGCUUUGUCGAGAGGAGCACCAUGGAGGCCCGCCCCCACCGACUGGAUCAGGGUUUUGUAUGGAAAAUGUCCGAUUUUGGCAACGUCGGCGGUUCGGAGUACCGCAUAUCGGUAACCCUUCAGGGCGACAAGGUCGGAGGUUUUUCCCGGUGGCUCAAGAUUCCUGAGGCCUGGAGCGUCUCACGAGAGGCGAUAGCGUCGAAGCGGAAGCUUCUCGUAGAUCUCUCCGAUCUGCCCUUGAUCAUCCUAUACCUGGCAAUAGCCGCGGUACUCCUUCGCCGGGCACACGCGGGCGAUGUUCCGUGGCGCUGGCCCCUUCUCCUGGGGAGGGC
rnacentral:rRNA from 1 species